rnacentral:rRNA from 1 species
UACGAAGGGGGCUAGCGUUGCUCGGAAUCACUGGGCGUAAAGCGCACGUAGGCGGAUUGUUAAGUCAGGGGGUGAAAUCCUGGAGCUCAACUCCAGAACUGCCUUUGAUACUGGCGAUCUCGAGUCCGGGAGAGGUGAGUGGAACUGCGAGUGUAGAGGUGAAAUUCGUAGAUAUUCGCAAAGAACACCAGUGGCGAAGGCGGCUCACUGGCCCGGUACUGGACGCUG